rnacentral:tRNA from 1 species
UCACUGGUGGUCCAGUGGUUAGGACCUGGUGUUUUCAUUGCCAUGGUUCCAGGUUCAAUCCCUGGUCGGGGAA